rnacentral:rRNA from 1 species
GCCAAACAACUAGCUUAACCACCUAAUAAACUAAAAAUAUAAAUAAAACAAAAUAAAUCUACAAACCAAAACUAAACCAUUCUAUUACCUGAGUAUGGGAGACAGAAAAGGUUACAUUAAAGCAAUAGAGACAGUACCGCAAGGGAACGUUGAAAAAGAAAUGAAACAACCCAUACAAGCACAAAAAAGUAAAGACUAAACCUUGUACCUUUUGCAUCAUGAUUUAGCCAGUACACCCAAGCAAAGAGACCUUUAGUUUGAAACCCCGAAACCAGGUGAGCUACCCCGAGACAGCCUAUUAAGGGCUAACCCGUCUCUGUGGCAAAAGAGUGGGAAGAACUCCGGGUAGGAGUGAUAAACCUAACGAACCUGGUGAUAGCUGGUUGCCUAAGAAAUGAAUAGGAGUUCAGCCCCACCAACCUCAAACCAAAAAUUACAAAAAGACCAAAGAGAAAUACGUGGAAGUUAGUUAAAGGGGGUACAGCCCCUUUAACCAAGGACACAACCUUUUCAGGAGGAUAAAGAUCAUAAUACCUAAAACACACUGUUCUAGUGGGCCUAAAAGCAGCCACCAAAAUAGAAAGCGUUAAAGCUCAAACAGAUAAAAGUUUAUUAUUCCGAUAAAAAAUCUUACUCCCCUAAAUACUAUUAGGCUAAUCCAUGCCAACAUGGAAGAAAUUAUGCUAAAAUGAGUAACAAGAAGGCCCGACCUUCUCCCGGCACAAGUGUAAGCCAAACCGGACAAACCAUUGGCAACUAACGAACCCAAUCAAAGAGAGUAAUGUGAAUUAAAACAAAACCAAGAAAAAUCCACAAUGAAAUUAUCGUUAACCCCACACUGGAGAGCCACCUUUAAAGGAAAGACUAAAAGAAAAGGAAGGAACUCGGCAAACACAAGCCUCGCCUGUUUACCAAAAACAUCGCCUCCUGCAAACUAUAAGUAUAGGAGGUCCAGCCUGCCCAGUGACCAAAAGUUCAACGGCCGCGGUAUUUUAACCGUGCAAAGGUAGCGUAAUCACUUGUCUUCUAAAUAGAGACCUGUAUGAAAGGCUAAACGAGGGCUUAACUGUCUCCCAUUUCAAGUCAGUGAAAUUAAUCUACCCGUGCAGAAGCGGGUAUUAACAUACAAGACGAGAAGACCCUUUGGAGCUUAAGGUAAAAAUUCAACCACGUCAAGCAACUCCAAACAAGUUUUUAAACUUUGUGGAAUAUGAAAUUAUACCUUCGGUUGGGGCGACCAUGGAGGAAAACAAAGCCUCCAAGUGGUAUAGGGUAAACCCCUUGAACCUAGAGAGACAUCUCCAAGCCACAGAACAUCUGACCAUAAAUGAUCCGGUCAACAUAGACCGAUAAACGAACUAAGUUACCCUAGGGAUAACAGCGCAAUCCUCUCCCAGAGUCCAUAUCGACGAGAGGGUUUACGACCUCGAUGUUGGAUCAGGACAUCCUAAUGGUGCAACCGCUAUUAAGGGUUCGUUUGUUCAACGAUUAAAGUCCUACGUGAUCUGAGUUCAGACCGGAGUAAUCCAGGUCGGUUUCUAUCUGUAAUGCCACUUUUCCCAGUACGAAAGGAUCGGAAAAGAGGGGCCCAUGCUCACAGCACGCCCCACCCCUAAUUUAUGUAAACAAAUAAAUAUAGGUAAGGGAGGGCCAAAACCCAAACCAAGACAAGGACAU